CAGUGCCUACGGAGGAGAGCACCGUGCUGAGGAUCAUGAAUGGAGUGUAAUAUCCUAUUUUGCUGACCAGCGUGCCAGCCGCAAUGCCACCGACGACGACAGAUAGCAUGGUGGGAAGGAUAUUGAUUCCAGGAUCGACGGCGCUCACGCCCUUAAUUGCCUGGAACCAGAUGGGUAGGUAAUACAGCACCACCAACAUGUGUCCGCCAGUGCAGAUUGUGUAGUAAACGCCAGCGACCAUACUUCUCUGCGCGGCUAUCCGUCCUGGCACACUCGCAUACUCCUUAUUCCAUACCUGAAGGCCCACAAACCCCAGCAGGAGCAAUCCAAACACCGCGAACAAGACGAUUAUCCGGGCUGAAUUCCACCCAUAUGUUCUUCCACCCCACUGCAACGCCAGCAACAGACAAAGCAUGCCUGGAAAAAAACAAAGCAUUCCGAAGGGAUCAAGAUGCAACAUCUUCUUCUUGAAGAACGCACUAGCAAGAUCUGCACCACGCUUUGCCUUUGGCAUCUUCAGAACGAAUAUCACGAUCGCUAACGUCACCGUUCCAAUGGGAAGGUUGAUAUAGAAACACCAUCUCCAUGAAACCUUAUCCGUAAACACCCCGCCUAGUAGCGGGGCCACGACGGAGGCGAGCCCAAAGGUAGACCCUAGAAACCCCAGAUACAUUGGCCGUUUAGGGAGUGGUAUAGUAUGGAGUAUGAUAACAACUGCACCCGCGAAGAUAGUGGACGACCCCAUUCCCGCACUAGCUCUGCCGAAUAUGAAGGCGAUGGAAUUUGGAGCGGCACCGCAAACCGCAGAGCCAAUUUCAAACAGGACAAUGGCGAAGAUGAAGACCCAUUUGGGCGAGUAGAGGGAGUAGAUCUUGCCGAAGA
rnacentral:sRNA from 1 species